GACAGAGGGUGCAAACGUUGUUCGGAAUUACUGGGCGUAAAGCGUGUGUAGGCGGUCCUCUAAGUCGGGUGUGAAAGCCCAGGGCUCAACCCUGGAAGUGCACUCGAAACUGGAAGGCUAGAGUACCGGAGAGGUUGGUGGAAUUCCCAGUGUAGAGGUGAAAUUCGUAGAUAUUGGGAGGAACACCGGUGGCGAAGGCGGCUACCUGGACAGUGAUUGACGCUGAGACGCGAAAGCAUGGGUAGCAAACAGG
rnacentral:rRNA from 1 species